rnacentral:rRNA from 1 species
UACAGAGGUCCCGAGCGUUGUUCGGAUUCAUUGGGCGUAAAGGGUGCGUAGGCGGCGGGCAAGUCUGAUGUGAAAUCCCGGGCUCAACCCCGGAACUGCAUUGGAUACUGCCUUGCUUGAGUACUGGAGAGGAACUGGAAUUACGGUGUAGCAGUGAAAUGCGUAGAGAUCGAUAAGGAAGGCCAGUGGCGAAGGCGAGUUCCUGGACAGUUACUGACGCUGAGGCACGAAGGCCAGGGAGCAAACGGG